rnacentral:lncRNA from 1 species
AGCAGCUCAUAAACUUCACUUGGAGAAUGUGAAGAAAGUUGCAAAGCUAGAACAAGAGUGUCAGAGGCUGCGUGUGCUCGUCAGGAAACGGUUGCCAGGACCCGCCGCUAUGUCCAAGAUGAGGAGUGAAGUAGAGAUGCUGGGAAGGGUAGGCCCCCGCCGCUAUGUCCAAGAUGAGGAGUGAAGUAGAGAUGCUGGGAAGGGUAAGAGUCAAUGGAGGAAGCACUAACGGCGCAAUGAUCAGUAACCUCACUGAGCAGUUAUGCUUACUGGAGGAAGAGAACAAGACAUUGAGAGAU